AGUGAACGCUGGCGGUAGGCCUAACACAUGCAAGUCGAACGGCAGCACAGUAAGAGCUUGCUCUUACGGGUGGCGAGUGGCGGACGGGUGAGGAAUACAUCGGAAUCUACUUUUUCGUGGGGGAUAACGUAGGGAAACUUACGCUAAUACCGCAUACUACCUACGGGUGAAAGCAGGGGAUCUUCGGACCUUGCGCGAUUGAAUGAGCCGAUGUCGGAUUAGCUAGUUGGCGGGGUAAAGGCCCACCAAGGCGACGAUCCGUAGCUGGUCUGAGAGGAUGAUCAGCCACACUGGAACUGAGACACGGUCCAGACUCCUACGGGAGGCAGCAGUGGGGAAUAUUGGACAAUGGGGGCAAGCCUGAUCCAGCCAUACCGCGUGGGUGAAGAAGGCGUUCGGGUUGUAAAGCCCUUUUGUUGGGAAAGAAAAGCAGCAGGUUAAUACCCCGCUGUUCUGACGGUAACCAAAGAAUAAGCACCGGCUAACUUAGUGC
rnacentral:rRNA from 1 species